GCUUGGAUUUAACCGGUCAAAACGCAUAAAUCUUUCGCCCUUUAGUAAAGAUUUCCGUGGAGGAGAACAACUCAGUCUUAAAUAAUUUUUUUCUCGUGGGCCUAAUAUAACGCGA